CGCGGCCUAUCAGCUUGUUGGUGGGGUAGUGGCCUACCAAGGCGACGACGGGUAGCCGGCCUGAGAGGGUGACCGGCCACACUGGGACUGAGACACGGCCCAGACUCCUACGGGAGGCAGCAGUGGGGAAUAUUGCGCAAUGGGCGAAAGCCUGACGCAGCGACGCCGCGUGGGGGAUGACGGCCUUCGGGUUGUAAACCUCUUUCAGCAGGGACGAAGCGAAAGUGACGGUACCUGCAGAAGAAGCACCGGCCAACUACGUGCCAGCAGCCGCGGUAAUACGUAGGGUGCAAGCGUUGUCCGGAAUUAUUGGGCGUAAAGAGCUCGUAGGCGGUUUGUUGCGUCGGCUGUGAGAUCCCGAGGCUCAACCUCGGGUCUGCAGUCGAUACGAGCAAACUAGAGUGUUGCAGGGGAGACUGGAAUUCCUGGUGUAGCGGUGAAAUGCGCAGAUAUCAGGAGGAACACCGGUGGCGAAGGCGGGUCUCUGGGCAACAACUGACGCUGAGGAGCGAAAGCGUGGGGAGCGAACAGGAUUAGAUACCCUGGUAGUCCACGCCGUAAACGUUGGGCGCUAGGUGUGGGGCUCAUUCCACGAGUUCCGUGCCGCAGCUAACGCAUUAAGCGCCCCGCCUGGGGAGUACGG
rnacentral:rRNA from 1 species